CCGCGGUAAGCUGCAGUCAAGCAAUGUGACAGAUUCGUUGGAUUUGUUGUUUUGCAAAGUGCAUGGAGUGUGAUGCAAAUUCCUGUAAUCAUUAGCAAAAAUGAUCAAAAACUUGAGAAUUUGCUAAACUUCUUAAUUUAUCACCAACAUUAUAAAACAUUUACAUUCGCUAUUUACAAAUGUCUAUAUCAAGAGAACAGUAAUCAAUUCUCAGCACAGCAGCUUCUUGGCCAUCCUUUUAUCUCUAGAAAUCCCAUGUCGCACAGCUUAAGCAAUAACAUCACUUCAGAUAAGCUUGACGCUGAAAAAGAUCACGGUAGAAAUGAAAAUGGCUGCGAUGAUGAAGAUAAGUCUCCUGAUUUGAUGCCUAUUUCUUUCGGGUACGCUGCGAGAAAUUUAAGAUAUCGAAAUGAAUUUGAGGUGUUGCAAAUGCUUGGAGAAAGAAUGGUUUGCUUCAGUUGUGAAGAAAUGCUUUAUAUACGCUUAGGUGCGUAAUAAAUUGGACGGCUAUCUCUAUGCGAUCAAAUGAAUUCCUUUGAAUCCGAAAAGUGUUCUGUUAAAUCGCAAAAUAGCUCGAGAAGAGAAGUUCCUUUGUAGUUUGAAUCAUGAAAAUAUUGUAAGAUAUUAUAAUUCGUGGAUUGAGGUAGAAGAAAUACUUGAAAAUGAAACUUCCAACAGUGAAACAAAAUCAAGCGUGAUAGAGAAUAAACAACGACGCCAGGUUUAAGAUACCUUAAUAAAAUUGAACCUAGUUGUGCAAGCACCUAGUGUACGCUUGAAAGUUUUGAUGUGGACUCGUUGAUCAAUGAAAUUACAAAUGAUUCCAAGCAUGUUGAUGAAGAUAAAAGCUUUAGCGAGGACGAGGCUCCAAUACCAAAAUAAUCAAUUAAUAACACGGAGUCUACUGAGGAAAAUGUGAGAAAUAUACGUUUAGCUCAAUAAAUAUUUAUAUGAAGACUUACUAUUUGCUAAUUUUCAUUAAUUCCUUUUAAAUAGAAUAGGGUAUGAUUAAAACAAACGCGUUUGGA